rnacentral:lncRNA from 1 species
UUUCUCCUCUCGUCUGAAUUCGCGAUUCAAUCACCUCCAACAUCAAAUUACUAAUUCAUCAAAUUCUUAACCACCAAUAUUGCACCCAUAUGGAAUUGACUGGUUCUAGACUAUCACAACUAUCCAAUCAGGUCAUACUAGUUUCAUGGACACUUGGGAGUGUUUUAUUUAUUCAGUUUGCAGGAGGCUCAAAGUUUUAACCUCUACGUCAGUAUUCCUUUAAUUACCACCAUUGGAGGAUUUAUUUCAAAAGCAUUAACAUCUUGUUCCUUACAUUUAUUUGCAGCUUAUUGUUAUCCCACUCCAGCAACCAUCCUACGGUCUUGAAGGGAGAGAAAUAGAGGAGACAAAUGCUUCUCCAUUUGGGGAUUUUAGGGUAUAAAAGUAGUUACUCAUGUUAUGUGCGACCAUGAAAAAAAAAAUUGUUGAGUCAUUUUUGUUUGUGUAACCUGCAAUUGAAGGUCAUUUUGAAGGGACCAUGGGUGCACCCUUAAAAAUAGGGACCAUAUUAGGGGCACCCCAUAAA